UACAGAGGGUGCAAGCGUUAAUCGGAAUUACUGGGCGUAAAGCGUGCGUAGACGGUUAUGUAAGUCGGGUGUGAAAGCCCCGGGCUCAACCUGGGAAUGCCAUUCGAGACUGCAUAGCUAGGGUGCGGAAGAGGGAAGCGGAAUUUCCGGUGUAGCGGUGAAAUGCGUAGAUAUGCGGAGGAACACCGAUGGCGAAGGCAAUCCCCUGGACCUGUACUGACGCUCAUGCACGAAAGCGUGGGGAGCAAACAGG
rnacentral:rRNA from 1 species